AUGAACGCGGCGGCAUGCCUUACACAUCCAAGUCGAACGGCAGCACGGGAGCAAUCCUGGUGUCGAGUGGCGAACGGGUGAGUAAUACAUCGGAACGUGCCCAAUCGUGGGGGAUAACGCAGCGAAAGCUGUGCUAAUACCGCAUACGAUCUACGGAUGAAAGCAGGGGAUCGCAAGACCUUGCGCGAAUGGAGCGGCCGAUGGCAGAUUAGGUAGUUGGUGAGGUAAAGGCUCACCAAGCCGUCGAUCUGUAGCUGGUCUGAGAGGACGACCAGCCACACUGGGACUGAGACACGGCCCAGACUCCUACGGGAGGCAGCAGUGGGGAAUUUUGGACAAUGGGCGAAAGCCUGAUCCAGCCAUGCCGCGUGCAGGAUGAAGGCCUUCGGGUUGUAAACUGCUUUUGUACGGAACGAAACGGCCUUUUCUAAUAAAGAGGGCUAAUGACGGUACCGUAAGAAUAAGCACCGGCUAACUACGUGCCAGCAGCCGCGGUAAUACGUAGGGUGCAAGCGUUAAUCGGAAUUACUGGGCGUAAAGCGUGCGCAGGCGGUUAUGUAAGACAGUUGUGAAAUCCCCGGGCUCAACCUGGGAACUGCAUCUGUGACUGCAUAGCUAGAGUACGGUAGAGGGGGAUGGAAUUCCGCGUGUAGCAGUGAAAUGCGUAGAUAUGCGGAGGAACACCGAUGGCGAAGGCAAUCCCCUGGACCUGUACUGACGCUCAUGCACGAAAGCGUGGGGAGCAAACAGG
rnacentral:rRNA from 1 species